rnacentral:rRNA from 1 species
ACGAACGCUGGCGGCGUGCUUAACACAUGCAAGUCGAACGGUGAAGCAGAGCUUGCUCUGUGGAUCAGUGGCGAACGGGUGAGUAACACGUGAGCAAUCUGCCCCUGACUCUGGGAUAAGCGCUGGAAACGGCGUCUAAUACCGGAUACGAGCUGCGACCGCAUGGUCAGUAGCUGGAAAGAGAUUUCGGUCAGGGAUGAGCUCGCGGCCUAUCAGCUUGUUGGUGAGGUAAUGGCUCACCAAGGCGUCGACGGGUAGCCGGCCUGAGAGGGUGACCG